rfam:Gossypium raimondii chromosome 13, whole genome shotgun sequence.
AUUCCAUGAUGCGGGCACUUUCGUAAUAAUUCUUUAUACCUUUCCCAGGCUUCAUACAAUGACUCAUCAUCCAUUUGGUGGAAAGCAGUGAUCUCGUUCCUCAACUU